rnacentral:misc_RNA from 1 species
AAGUCGUAACAAGGUUUCCGUAGGUGAACCUGCGGAAGGAUCAUUAACACGUAUCCAAACGUUAACCCCCUGUGAACCUUCAAUGUGCUCGUACACUUUGUCAAAGCGAGGCAAUCCCUGGUAAAUCAUCGCCGAACAGUUUUGAUUCUGGGACUUCCUCAAAGAGUGUGCAUGUUGCGCGAGGCAAGUGGCCUGGCAUUCCCAAGCAGUUAAUGUCUGAAAGUGUCAUUUGCUGUGUAAGGAUGACGCAGUAACGAUCGUUGGAGGCCGACACGGCCGACGACCGGGUCCCUGGGUCACCAUGCCCCUUAUAAAUCACCACACUGUAACGCCGACAGGUCGCGAUAAUUCCGCUGACCACAAAAAACCGAACAACUGUUAACAAUGGAUAUCUUGGUUCUC